UACGUAGGGACCGAGCGUUGUCCGGAAUCAUUGGGCGUAAAGAGCGUGUAGGCGGCUAUUUAAGUCCUGCGUGAAAUCCUGCGGCUCAACCGCAGACGGUCGUGGGAAACUGGAUGGCUAGAGUGCGGGAGAGGAGAGUGGAAUUCCCGGUGUAGCGGUGAAAUGCGCAGAUAUCGGGAAAGAACACCCGUGGCGAAGGCGGCUCUCUGGAACGCAACUGACGCUGAGACGCGAAAAGCGUGGGGAGCAAACAGGGAUUAAGAU
rnacentral:rRNA from 1 species